UACGUAGGGGGCAAGCGUUGUCCGGAAUCAUUGGGCGUAAAGGGUGCGUAGGCGGGUCUUUAAGUCAGGGGUGAAAUCCUGGAGCUCAACUCCAGAACUGCCUUUGAUACUGAGGAUCUUGAGUUCGGGAGAGGUGAGUGGAACUGCGAGUGUAGAGGUGAAAUUCGUAGAUAUUCGCAAGAACACCAGUGGCGAAGGCGGCUCACUGGCCCGGUACUGACGCUGAGGUGCGAAAGCGUGGGGAGCAAACAGG
rnacentral:rRNA from 1 species